rnacentral:rRNA from 1 species
AGAGAUGGAUUGGUGCCUUCGGGAACUCUGACACAGGUGCUGCAUGGCUGUCGUCAGCUCGUGUCGUGAGAUGUUGGGUUAAGUCCCGUAACGAGCGCAACCUUGUCCUUAGUUACCAGCACGUUAUGGUGGGCACUCUAAGGAGGACUGCCGGUGACAAACCGGAGGAAGGUGGGGAUGACGUCAAGUCAUCACGGCCCUUACGGCCUGGGCUACACACGUGCUACAAUGGUCGGUACAAAGGGUUGCCAAGCCGCGAGGUGGAGCUAAUCCCAAUAAAACCGAUCGUAGUCCGGAUCGCAGUCUGCAACUCGACUGCGUGAAGUCGGAAUCGCUAGUAAUCGUGAAUCAGAAUGUCACGGUGAAUACGUUCCCGGGCCUU